GAUGCAUUUGGAGUUGUUUACAUUCAGACAAAGCUCAUCUGGUUGUUUGCAGCUAGUCACAAGGUGGCCCAUUGUCCUGCCUUGCUUUUCUCCAUUAUCUCUGGGUCAAGUUGUUUCUUUGAUAAAUCCAAAUCAUGAAAAUAGCCUGCUGAAAGAAUUCACUUUGAAAAUGCCACAAAACAGACAAUGGAAAAAUGAGAUGAACAAGUGCGAAUCCAUCAUUCUUCUCAGGUUCUGGAAAAAUGCUGGUUUUCAGCUCCUGGAAAAUUCUCACAAGACAUCUGUUUUGUUUUAUAUCUUCAUUUGUUUCCAUUCAUCUUUCCUACUGUAGACACUGUCUAUGAUUUUUUUGUGUGGGGGUUUUGGCAAAGUGCAUACGAUUACUUUGAAUUUAGAGAAUUAAAUUGUAUUUAUCCACUGAAAGCUGUUUUUAAGAUCUAGCUGUGUUGUCACUUGGAUAUCUAGUUUAUUACUUCUACUUGCAAAGUAGUACAAUGAGAUACCAAACCACCAUAUUUUUUCCAUCUAUUUUCUCAAUUAUGGACACUUUUCAACUUAUUACUACAGUAGGGAAGUUAAAGGCUAUUUGAAUUAUUGGAGAAUAGAGAUACCUAGGAUCAGAAUUACCAAGUCAUAGACCGAAACUUUGGCUAAGACCUAAACUUAAUAUGGGUAAAUAUUGUUACAUUGCUCCCUAGAAUAUUGAUAUGGUUUGGAUUUGUGUCCCCACGCAAAUCUCAUGUUGAAUUGUAAUCCUCAAUGUUGGAGGUGGGGAAUGGUAAGGGGUGAUUAGAUCCUG
rnacentral:lncRNA from 10 species